GAAUAUAUCAUAAUAUUUGUGUUGCUAUAUAAUUUUGAAUCUUGUGUGUUAUUCUCAACUAUUGUACUCGAGUAAAAAUAACUUGGUUAAACAAUCGUCGCUGCUGCUUCUAGACUGUGUGGACAAAUGAAAUUGCAGAAUUCUGUCUUUGAAUUUCCUCUUUUGCCAUUUUCUCAUUCAUUAGUUUCGUAGUUUCUCUAAAGUUUCUGCUUGAAGUUAUUGAGUAAUUGAGAUUAGAGGACAGGGUAUUGGGUUGUGG
rnacentral:lncRNA from 1 species